UACGUAGGGUGCAAGCGUUGUCCGGAAUUAUUGGGCGUAAAGGGCGCGCAGGCGGCUCAUUUUGUCAGGCGUGAAAGCCCCGGGCUUAACCUGGGAACUGCGUUUGAUACGGAUGGGCUAGAGUUCGGGAGAGGAGAGUGGAAUUCCCAGUGUAGAGGUGAAAUUCGUAGAUAUUGGGAAGAACACCGGUGGCGAAGGCGGCUCUCUGGACCGAUACUGACGCUGAGGCGCGAAAGCGUGGGGAGCAAACAGG
rnacentral:rRNA from 1 species